GGAGAGGUGACCGAGUGGUUGAAGGUGCAGACCUGGAACGUCUGUGAGGGUUUUGCUCUCCGAGGGUUCGAAUCCCUCUCUCUCCG
rnacentral:tRNA from 1 species